rnacentral:rRNA from 1 species
UACGUAGGGAGCAAGCGUUGUUCGGAUUUACUGGGCGUAAAGGGCGCGUAGGCGGCAUAUUAAGUCAUCUGUGAAAUCUCCGAGCUUAACUCGGAACUGUCAGCUGAUACUGAUGUGCUAGAGUGCGGAAGGGGCAAUCGGAAUUCUUGGUGUAGCGGUGAAAUGCGUAGAUAUCAAGAGGAACCCCUGAGGUGAAGACGGGUUGCUGGGCCGACACUGACGCUGAGUGCGCGAAAGCCAGGGGAGCAAACGGG